rnacentral:rRNA from 1 species
UACGUAGGGUGCGAGCGUUGUCCGGAAUUAUUGGGCGUAGAGGGCUCGUAGGCGGCUUGUUGCGUCGGCUGUGAAAACCCAUGGCUCAACCGUGGGCUUGCAGCCGAUACGGGCAGGCUAGAGUUCGGUAGGGGAGACUGGAAUUCCUGGUGUAGCGGUGAAAUGCGCAGAUAUCAGGAGGAACACCGGUGGCGAAGGCGGGUCUCUGGGCCGAUACUGACGCUGAGGAGCGAAAGCGUGGGGAGCGAACAGG